UACAGAGGUCUCGAGCGUUAGGCGGAAUCACUGGGCUUAAAGCGUGUGUAGGCGGGUCGUUAAGUGCCUUGUGAAAUCCCAUGGCUCAAGCCAUGGAACUGCUGGGCAUACUGGCGAUCUUGUGCCACCUAGGGGCGAGCGGAACAGAUGGUGGAGCGGUGAAAUGCGUAGAUAUCAUCUGGAACGCCAAUGGUGAAAACAGCUCGCUGGGGGUGUGCAGACGCUGAGACACGAAAGCCCAGGGGAGCGAACGGG
rnacentral:rRNA from 1 species